GGGAUUGUAGCUCAGUGGUAGAGCGCUUGCUUAGCAUGUGUGAGGCACUGGGUUCAAUUCUCAGCACCA
rnacentral:tRNA from 1 species